GUAGUUUAUUUUCGAUUUCCUUUCUUAGCUAUGCUGUGUAUGUGCAGUUAAUGAUUAAAUGCAAGUACUUCUGUUUAGGCAUAAUCCAGCAGUGCGGGAGGAUCAAGCUUAACUACAUUUCAUUUUAAAUUUUAAUUUCAUGACCAAGAAAACAGAUUUCACUAACUUUUUUAAAAGAUCAGUGCCUUAUAAGCCUUAUUUUUAAGGUUAGUAAAUCACUUGUGGGGAUUUUUUCUGAAGGUAUUAAUUGUUGCAUAUCUGUGUAACAGCAACAAAAGAGCGAUUUAUGAUUUUGUUAACUGAUAUAUAGUUCCCAUCACAACUCACACUAACUUGCUUAGAUUUUGGCUUGAGAUUUUCUCCCCUUAUUUUCUACUUAAUCUUACACUUCCUUUCCACAAAGUGGUUUUGGUCAGCCGAAAAUUGUACAUGAAUCAACAAUUUUGUUAUUGAAUCGAAUAAAUGAGUAAUGAUUGCAAGCUUACAAUACUGUUUUGUUUAUUAACGGCACUAAUUAUAAUUCACUAUACUGGCUUUACUGCCUAUAGACAUGGCACAUGUGAGUUUGAAACAAGUGUAUAAUAUCAUAAAGGGAUUUUAUAAUUGUAAUUUCAUUAUGAUUUGUUUGUUGGUUUUAAAUAAUUUUGGAACUAUUCUAUCUUUAUUAUUUGUUUGUCAAGAUGGGUUUUGUUUUUAACAAUUGUUGGAAUUUUUGUAUCUUAGCUUGAUAAUGUCAUUUCAAAAGGACAUUACAAGUAUUAAAAAACAACAUUCUUUUCUGAAAGAGCAAAGCUAUCCUAUUCAUAUUUUUGAUAUCUAAAUGACAUUCAUAGCAGAUUAGAGUGUGGUCAUAAUGAAAUUAUGUCUAUUUUAUAAAUUUAAUUAUCUUACCAUGUGACUUGUUGGAUCUAUUUUUUCGCAGCAAUUUGUCCUCGUGGCCUCCUGCCAAAUUCUUAAACUUCUAUUUCCUCAUUCCUCUCAAUCCAAAGCUGAACCUGAGAUAGAACAGAAACACCUGUUGGAAUUAAGGAAGGAAUGAAUAAAUAAAUAACUAAUUAAAUUAAUUAACUUGUGAGGUAGGGCUUUGCUCACAAAAAUGUCUUCCUUUAAAAUGAAUAGUUACCGGUUUCUUAAUUUAAAUGUCUGUACCAUUGCUUGUAUUUGUUAAUUUGCUUCAAACUAAGCAAAAUGAAACAGAUCUGAAAUAUUAAAUCAGAAUUAUAAAACAAAUACAGAUUUUUUUACACAAACAUUUAUCCCAAUUAUCCAUUUAUCUGGACAAGAAGUAUGGAGUAAAUUUAUUUUUUUGUAAUUAAAAGCUAUAUUUUCAUAUAUUUACCGACAGAUGUUUACAGUUGUUUGUGCCCAAGUAAUAUUUCAAUAAACUGUUCAACACUAUGAGUAUGACACUGAUUUAAUACAUUUUAAAGGUACAUGUAACUAGAUAUUUUAACUAGCUUCUGCAGAUAUUCAACUGAAUAUUGUAAUUCACAGGGUGUUUGUACCAAUCUUUUGUUACAGUUGCUUGAAAAUAUAUGGGCAGUUACUGUGAUGCAGUCAUAAUUUUAGGAAGUUUGUAAAAAGUGUGCUGUUUGUUUGAGGGUUUUAUCAAGACUUUCUGCAGCUGUUAUGACACAUUUUUUCCAUAUAGAACUCUCUUGAAUUAGUUGAACUGAAAAAAAAAAUAACAGUGUUUAUUUAUGCUUAUAAAGUACAUUGAUGAACAUAUAUUACUGUAUAGCAUUGGGAACUACGAAGAAAGCUCUGAUGUCCUCUGCUUGAACGCUAGGCCUAUUUCAAAUCGUCUACUGGAAAUGUCUAGAAGUGGGCAUCACACAAAACAGAAAAAAAAAUCGUACUCGCCUCUUCCAAUUUACAUGAUUGGAAAACCAAGUUAUUUCUGAAAAAAUUCCAUAAUUCAAUACAAUUAAUUUUUUGUAGUCUUUGUCAACCUUAUGUAAAAUUACGUUUUGAACUGAAAUAAAAUUUCUUCUUGAAAAGAAA